rnacentral:rRNA from 1 species
UACGUAGGGUGCGAGCGUUAAUCGGAAUUACUGGGCGUAAAGCGUGCGCAGGCGGUUUUGUAAGCCAGAUGUGAAAUCCCCCGGGCUUAACCUGGGAAUGGCAUUUGGGACUGCAAGGCUUGAGUGUGGCAGAGGAGACUGGAAUUCCUGGUGUAGCAGUGAAAUGCGUAGAUAUCAGGAGGAACACCGAUGGCGAAGGCAGGUCUCUGGGCUAACACUGACGCUCAUGCACGAAAGCGUGGGGAGCAAACAGG